AACGCGAAGAACCUUACCGAGGCUUGACAUCCUAGGAACCCUGUAGAAAUACGGGGGUGCCCUUGGGAGCCUAGUGACAGGUGCUGCAUGGCCGUCGUCAGCUCGUGUCGUGAGAUGUUGGGUUAAGUCCCGCAACGAGCGCAACCCUUGUCGUAUGUUGAAUUUUUCAUGCGAGACUGCCCGGGCCAACCGGGAGGAAGGUGGGGAUGACGUCAGGUCAGCAUGGCCCUUACGCCUCGGGCUACACACGUCAUACAAUGGCUAGUACAACGCGUUGCCAAACCGCAAGGUGGAGCUAAUCGCACCAAAACUAGUCUCAGUUCGGAUUGGAGGCUGCAACUCGCCUCCAUGAAGUCGGAAUCGCUAGUAACCGUAGGUCAGCAUACUACGGUGAAUACGUUCCCGGGUCUUGUACACACCG
rnacentral:rRNA from 1 species